UACAGAGGGGGCAAGCGUUGUUCGGAAUUACUGGGCGUAAAGGGCGCGUAGGCGGCCUUCUAAGUCAGACGUGAAAUCCCCAGGCUUAACUUGGGAACUGCGUCUGAUACUGGGAGGCUUGAGUGCGGGAGAGGGAUGUGGAAUUCCAGGUGUAGCGGUGAAAUGCGUAGAUAUCUGGAGGAACACCGGUGGCGAAGGCGGCAUCCUGGACCGACACUGACGCUGAGGCGCGAAAGCCAGGGGAGCAAACGGG
rnacentral:rRNA from 1 species